rnacentral:rRNA from 1 species
UACAGAGGUCUCGAGCGUUGUUCGGAUUCAUUGGGCGUAAAGGGUGCGUAGGUGGCACCGUAAGUCGGGUGUGAAAUCCUGAGGCUUAACCUCGGAACUGCAUUCGAUACUGCCGUGCUUGAGGACUGGAGAGGAGACUGGAAUUUACGGUGUAGCGGUGAAAUGCGUAGAUAUCGUAAGGAAGACCAGUGGCGAAGGCGGGUCUCUGGACAGUUCCUGACGCCGAGGCACGAAGGUCAGGGGAGCAAACGGG